ensembl:lncRNA
CCAUGUCUCGCCGUGACGUCACGCGCCGUAUCCCGAGCCCGAGCGCUCCCCUGAGCGCGUGGUCCCGGUCGCGAGCACAUGGAAGUGAGGUCGAGAUUUUGUGUCUGUGAGACGCGCGACUGAUCAUCAUGUGGGUGAAAGAAUGAAAAGGGAAUAUAAAAAAGCGAUAAAGCAGCGACGGAGACCGAGAGAACAGCGCGGGACGGGUGGUGUUGCAGACCCUCAUGCAGACCCAGGUCUUACUGCGGCUGCCGCUCUCAUAGACGACUGAAGAUACUGAACUGAAUGGGAAGGAUGCAAAGGUGGAAGCAGUCAGUCUUGGAUUCGGUUUCACUGAGUCUUAAUGGAACACACACGCUCGAACACACACACAUACUGCAUGUUUUUUAAUACUAUCUACUUCCCCCUUUCUUUCAGAGGACAUAGAUACACCCUGAAUGGGCCUCUGUGGUGAUCUACACUGUGGUUGGGAAGUACCUAGUGUUACAACUGUCAUGCUGGUCUGCUUAAAGGGACAGCGAUGAUCACUUUUACACGCAGUACGUUUUGUUUUCAGAGCUUUGAAAAAUCCAUAUAGUUGGAUGUUUCAGUUUUCGCCUUAAUAGUGAGUGAGCAGUUUCUCUGUGCAGAGUUUAGAAAUCAAACAGGGUCUUUUCUGUGUUAAAUUGCAGUUUCUAAAUGGUCAGGACAUCACUUGAAAUGCAGAAAGACUUAAUGGAGACUUCUCAGACUUCUUUCUUCAAUAAAGACAUAAAUUCAAUAGAUUUAAAGGCGUCGCCUCUUCUAUAGAGUCCAUCUUCAUACUCACACAAAAAAACAGAAGUCUAUUCAACUUUUUACCAGUUGACUAAUCUAUAAUUGCUGGGGUCAUGAAACUAUACUUCCAGAAUACACUGAGAAUUUGUGAUAUUGUGUAAAUGAAAUCUAACCACAAUGAGGUGAAAGAGGAAUGGAAUUUGUUUUGCAAUCGUUUCUAAAAAACCACAUAGAUUUUUACUUGCAUAUUCUGUUUGCAUGUUGUAGGUAUUUUCUGUUUCACUUUACACUUUUGAAUGUUUUGACAAAGCUUGUCUGAAUAAAUAUUUCUCUCUGACAGAUGUUUACUAAGCGUGUGUUUUUCUUGGACUCCGACAAGUGAGUGAAGCGUGCUCAUUACACUGAAGCCGGUCCUAAGUGUUCUGCAUCACCGCCUCUCAGUUUACAGCUGCAGAGAGUGAGAUCUUAGGCAAACACCGUAUCCGUGCUAAUUACGAAAUCCUAACCACAACAUGGAGAGCUAUUUGAGAGCUUCAUAGACAAGGUGCCGUCCUGCAGAA